GGGGGAGAGUCGGUUCUUACAGGCGGACACGCAGCACGCGGACAUGUUACUUUUCAAAUCGCCCGGAUUUGAUUUGGAGCCUCGGGUCCGGCGCUAACAGGAAGUUAUCAAAACACAACAAACGUCCACUUCCGUUGCCAAGAGGCGCGCGCAACCUCUUGAUGACGUCAGUGGCGUCAAGUGACGUGAAGUUGGUUCGUGUUCGACUGAAGCAACAACGUGAGGAGAAGAGUCCUGUUCUUCUCUUCCGCAUCAGUGUGUCUGUUCACUCGGCAGAGGCCGGUGACCGCCCCCUGCCGGCGGCUCGAGUGAGUGAGCAGGGGAUUAUUAUAAAUCUAUAGCUCAGAUUCACAAACCACAAUACGACUCAUCGGCUAUAUAAGUAUCUGAGUAUUUGAAUAUGUGGCCUUCAUACUGAACUAAGUAUGUAUCGCAGUACAGUACAGUAAAGGUACGGUGGCCCUGAAGUGCAAAUAGCACGACGAAGUUAGAAAACUGCCAAUUAAAAAACAACGACAAAUUCAUCUCAACAAAAAAAUCAAAAACACAGCGACAAUAAAAAAAAACACAUCAGCAAAUCGAAAGACAUUUUUCUUAUCUAUCGUGUUUUUUGGUUUGCUGUUGUGCUGUUUGAGUUAAGAUAACAUAAGAUAUCACUUUAUUCAUCACACAACAGGGAAGUUUGUGUUCGCUGUUACUCAUUUGUCAUUGUGUUUUCUUAUUUGUCGUUUUGAUUGGCACGUCAGGGCCACCGUAUACAGGUGCACUUAAAACGAACGACACGUUCAUGGUUCUACGUGAUCAUGUGACUGUGUGUUGUGUCUCAUUAAUGUGAUGUUCAUCGUGUUCGGAUGUGAAGUUCUAUAGAACAGAGGAACGAGCCUCAUGAAGAUUUGACCUCACAGAAAAUAGAAAACUGUCAUUCUGAUGCAGUCGUGGUUGUUAUGGUGAUUUUUUUAUUGGUCCAGGAUUUGUUGACAACCUUGUGAGUCAGUGUGGGUGUUUCACCAGCAGGUGUCGCUGUUGUGUAACGUGAGGAGCCGGUGUGAUGGAAACUAUUUUCAUAAAAGAACCACUUGACAUGAAUUCUGGUGAUUAAUGUCGGAAUGUUUUCUAUUAAUCUCUAUAAUCAGUCAUUUAUUUGAAAAAGCUGCAACUGAUCCUUUUCAUCAUCUUUGUCUGUUUGAGUCCUUUUUAUAAUUCAGAUCUCAAACCUGAAUCUGUAGCUGUGAUGAUGAACUGUGACCUGCUGAGCUCAUGGACUCUGUUGUGGGUGACUCCUCCAUCUGCCCCCUCCCCGGUCCUGCCAACCCUCCUCCCUCUGCAGUAAAGUGUGGAACAGUGACUGGAAUCUGAUCCUCUCGUCACCGUCCCACCUGUGAAGCUGCGUCAUCAAUCAAACCUCCGCUGCUUUGUCCCAUGUCUGUAAAACAGAGAGAUGCAGGAUGAGCAGUUUUCACUCUGGCUCUCAGCUUCUCUGACCCAUGUGCUCCGCUCGUCGUCGGCCAUGUUGGACGCCGGGCGUGUUGCUACCUGCUGCAGUCGGCACCUGAACGCGUCGCGUCUGUCGCUCUGUCGUCUGUGAAGGGUUGAGCCACUACAACGCAAAGGAGGAGUGUGUUUCCCGUCGCGCCCACAAGAGGAGAAGCCGUGAGUGAUUCCUCUGGUGGUGAUGUAUCUCUGACCUGCAGACACCUGGUUCAUCCUCAACAUGCUCUGCACUCUUCAUCACAAACUCUCUCCCGUGGAUGUUGCCAGCUGAGACCCGAGGACAAAAGGAGGAUUACAAAUGGACUUACUGACUCCAAUCCCCUCUUUCUUUCCUCCUCCUGCAGAUUAAAGACGGACUCACUUUUACGUCCCUUUUAUACUCAGAAAGAAUAUAAAACCUUUUACAGAUUUAUAUUCUGAAAGUGUGACGACCAGAGGCCGGUGUCUCACACACGUCUCUGUGAUCCUCAUGAUGGACGGAGGCUCAGGCCGACUGAGGAGAAUGUGAUGGGCAGCAGAUGGAAGUUGAAGCCUCAUGUGGCUCGACGACUCGCGUCCGCUCUGUCGAUCAGUUCCUCUUUGACCAGCUCAUCAUCAUCAUCAUCAUCAUCAUCACCAUCAUCACCAUCACCACCACACGUGUGCGUUUGGGAUUAAACUGCCUCUGGACCAGGACGCAGGUGCAGUCGAGGAUCAGCAGCUCCGACACUUCAGAUUGAAGAUGAAGGUUUUCAAUCCAACA